GGCUUCAUAGCUCAGUUGGUGGAGCGCUUGCCGUGUUUUGGCAUGUUGUUUCUGUUGCUGGUUCGAAUCCAGCCGAAGUCC
rnacentral:tRNA from 1 species